rfam:Lupinus angustifolius cultivar Tanjil chromosome LG16, whole genome shotgun sequence.
AGCCGUGUGUUAAGCACAAAGCGAACUAUUCUUUCGCCUUUUACUAAAGAAUACCGUGUGUUUGUCACUCUAAGCGGCAUACGCUUAUUUUUGGAGGUGUCCUUCCUUUGAAGGACC